GUCUACAGCCAUGCUACCCUGAAAGUGCCCAAUAUCAUCUGAUCUUGGAAGCUAAGCAGGGUCAGGCCUGGUUAGUACUUGGACGGAAGACCAUCUAGGAAAACCCAGCGCUGUAGGCG
rnacentral:rRNA from 1 species